UCGAUGAUGUGUUCGGGAUCGGAUACUGGAGUAUUUAUAAGUGAGGAGGAGGAGAGGUCUUGAAGUUUCCAGUUUCCGCUCUUCCUAAUAUUCUCCAUGCGUGUAGGAGCGCGAAGCAACGCCAGAAUUCCGGAAGCCUCUAGUUGACAAGGAAAUCCUGGGGCUGGCCUGGCUUUUUGGCCCAUGGGCCCGUUUCACCAUCUGAUGGCGUAGGGAUCUCUGGUUUUCGUACCCUGGACCUGGGUUUGUCAUUCAUGGAUCGACCAGGUUUGCAUCCUUGGCCCAGAUGCUCCCGCCGAGUAGCUUCUAGCAUCUAACGGUUCAUGCUCUUUAGUCUUAGGAGGUAGAAUGAGGAAGAAUUUGGGAAGAAAGCGACGCGUGAUUCUACAAUUGCAAAAUGGAGAAAAGUACAAGUUAGUAAAACUAUAUAUCAAGAAAAAUUUAAGAUCACUUAGAAAUAAAUCUGUUUUUUUAAAACGACAAAACUAGAAAAGGGGAAGUUA
rnacentral:lncRNA from 1 species